rnacentral:lncRNA from 1 species
GUCUGGGCUGGGUGUGUGUGUGUGUGUGGGUGCAUGCACAUGUGUGUGUGGGAGUGUGGGCGGGUGGGUGCUCGUCUGUGCACGUGAGUGUGUGGGUGGUUGCGUGGGUGUUGGGGUGAGUGGGUGCAUGGUUCUCAGUGGCUGAGUGCACAUGUGACUACGUAAGUGUGUGUGUGUUAGUCUCUGUGUGUAUAGAAAAGGUGAAACGUGUGUGUGUAUAAGGCAUAGGUAUUUGUAUUUCAGAAUCUGAGCCUUUGUGUUUAAACGUUUUUUAAAAACUCAAACAAAUUCACAGACACAAUCUCUCAUACUUACCACUAAUAUACACACACACACGCGCGCACACACGCACACACACGCACACACACGCACACGCACACACACACACACAAUUUCACACUCAGCAUCGGGCGUUUGCCUGAUCUAGCUUCCUCCUUGCUUUGUGAGUAACCCGCAGCAAUAAAAUAAACACAAAUAUGUGAUAAUCACAUUCUUCACAUAGCUGGUGGGAAGUUUCGGCUGGUUCUCCACAAGAGGAGGGGUGUGUGCAUAUGUGUGUGUAUGUGUGUGUGCAUGUGUAUGUGUGCGUGUACUCGUGCGUGUGCUCGUGUGUGUGUGUGUGUGUCAUUCCUCUGUUCUCUGGAGGCCCCACAGAGAAAGAAAGAGUUAUGGAACAAAUAGGUCUCACACAUUACACAACAGUACCACCAAUACAAACCAUCAGCUCAGUUAUACUCCCAGUACAAACCAUCAUGUCAGAAAUCCUCCCAGUACAAACCACCAGGUCAGACAUCCUCCCAGUACAAAACAUCAGCUCAGAUAUCCUCCCAGUACAAACCAUCAGGUCAGAUAUCCUCCCAGUACAAACCAGAUAUACUCCCAGUACAAACCACCAGGUCGGACAUCCUCCCAGUACAAACCACCAGGUCAGACAUCCUCCCAGUACAAAACAUCAGCUCAGAUAUCCUCCCAGUACAAACCAUCAGGUCAUAUAUCCUCCCAGUACAAACCAGAUAUACUCCCAGUACAAACCAGAUAUACUCCCAGUACAAACCAUCAGGUCAGGAAUCCUCCCAGUACAAACCACCAGGUCAGACAUCCUCCCAGUACAAAACAUCAGCUCAGAUAUCCUCCCAGUACAAACCAGAUAUACUCCCAGUACAAAACAGAUAUAAUCCCAGUACAAAACAGAUAUUCUCCCAGUACAAACCAUCAGGUCAGACAUACUCCCAGUACAAACCAUCAGGUCAGAUAUACUCCCAGUACAAACCAAUUAUACUCCCAGUACAAACCAUCAGGUCAGAUAUCCUCCCAGUACAAACCAUCAGGUCAGAUAUACUCCCAGUACAAACCAAUUAUACUCCCAGUACAAACCAUCAGGUCAGAUAUCCUCCCAGUACAAACCAUCAGGUCAGAAAUCCUCCCAGUACAAACCAUCAGGUCAGAUAUCAUCCCAGUACAAACCAGAUAUACUCCCAGUACAAACCAGAUAUACUCCCAGUACAAACCAAUAUACUCCCAGUACAAACCAGAUAUCAUCCCAGUACAAACCAGAUAUACUCCCAAUACAAACCAAAUACACUUCCAUUACAAACCAGAUAUACUUCCAGUACAAACCAGAUACACUUCCAAUACAAACCAGAUAUACUCCCAGUACAAACCAGAUACACUUCCAAUACAAGCCAGGUACACUUCCAGUACAAACCAGAUAUACUCCCAAUACAAACCAGAUACACUCCCAGUACAAACCAGAUACACUUCCAGUACAAACCAGAUAUACUCCCAAUACAAACCAGAUAUGCUCCCAGUACAAACCAGAUAUACUCCCAGUACAAACCAGAUAUACUCCCAGUACAAACCAGAUACACUUCCAGUACAAACCAGAUACACUUCCAAUACAAACCAGGUACACUUCCAAUACAAACCAGGUACACUUCCAGUACAAACCAGAUAUACUCCCUGUACAAGGCAGAUGCACUUCCAGUACAAACCAGAUAUACUCC